UAGGGAAUCUUCCACAAUGGACGCAAGUCUGAUGGAGCAACGCCGCGUGAGUGAAGAAGGUUUUCGGAUCGUAAAGCUCUGUUGUUGGUGAAGAAGGAUAGAGGCAGUAACUGGUCUUUAUUUGACGGUAAUCAACCAGAAAGUCACGGCUAACUACGUGCCAGCAGCCGCGGUAAUACGUAGGUGGCAAGCGUUGUCCGGAUUUAUUGGGCGUAAAGCGAGCGUAGGCGGAAUGAUAAGUCUGAUGUGAAAGCCCACGGCUCAACCGUGGAACUGCAUCGGAAACUGUCAUUCUUGAGUGCAGAAGAGGAGAGUGGAAUUCCAUGUGUAGCGGUGGAAUGCGUAGAUAUAUGGAAGAACACCAGUGGCGAAGGCGGCUCUCUGGUCUGCAACUGACGCUGAGGCUCGAAAGCAUGGGUAGCGAACAGG
rnacentral:rRNA from 1 species